AUCAGCACACAUACCACCUGCCGUUCACCCUUGGAGCUCCGCCUGACGUUAAGCAGGUUUUGGCCUUGCCUGUACUUGGAUGGGAGACCAACUUAAAAAACCAGUGAUGCUGCUG
rnacentral:rRNA from 1 species